rnacentral:lncRNA from 1 species
UGGGCGGAAGCGCUGAACUGAAACUGAGCAACUCCAUGAGAGUCGCUGGGGCCCGGAUGCUGCAACGAGCACAGCGUAGGGCUCAAAGCCAAGACCAGUGAGCGAGAAGAAAAAUGAAGAAACCAAAACUAUUCUUGAAAGCUGGGACCACGCGGAACCAUAGUCUGGAGCACCACGUGCUGUCUAUUCCUAGCGGGAGGCAAACAGCAAGAGAAGUUUGAAAACAUAGCCUACAGCAUUAGGACCAUUGCUCACAGAGGCCCAAGACUGCCCCUACUGCCC